rnacentral:rRNA from 1 species
UAGGGAAUCUUCGGCAAUGGGGGGAACCCUGACCGAGCAACGCCGCGUGAGUGAAGAAGGUUUUCGGAUCGUAAAGCUCUGUUGUUAAGGAAGAACGAGUGUGAGAAUGGAAAGUUCAUACUGUGACGGUACUUAACCAGAAAGGGACGGCUAACUACGUGCCAGCAGCCGCGGUAAUACGUAGGUCCCGAGCGUUGUCCGGAUUUAUUGGGCGUAAAGCGAGCGCAGGCGGUUAGAUAAGUCUGAAGUUAAAGGCAGUGGCUCAACCAUUGUAGGCUUUGGAAACUGUUUAACUUGAGUGCAGAAGGGGAGAGGGGAAUUCCAUGUGUAGCGGUGAAAUGCGUAGAUAUAUGGAGGAACACCGGUGGCGAAAGCGGCUCUCUGGUCUGUAACUGACGCUGAGGAUCGAAAGCGUGGGGAGCGAACAGG